rnacentral:lncRNA from 1 species
AAGAGACUGUUGACACCCAAAACAGAACUAUACUAGAAAAUCAGACAACACUAGGAUGAAAUGACCAAGGCCAAUACAGCUGGAGCUUCCAUGGCAGCACCUCCCGCCUAGAGUCUUCUGGUGUCCAAUUGCUAAAUACUGGCUCCAAACAAAGCAAUGGAAGCCACAGUGCAGAUACUGCUUAGAACAGGACCACCUCUCUCCGCUGUGGAAUAAAAUUAUUGAUUGGAGUUCCCGUCGUGGCUCAGUGGUUAACGCAUUCGAUUAGGAACCACGAGGUUGUGGGUUUGAUCCCUGGCCUUGCUCAGUGGGUUAAGGAUCCGGCAUUGCUGUGAGCUGUGGUGUAGGUCACAGGUGUGGCUCGGAUCCCGAGUUGGCUCUGGUGUAGGCCGGCAGCUACAGCUCUGAUUAGAUCCCUAGCCUGGAAACAUCCACAUGCUGCAGGUGCAGCCCAAGAAAAGGCAAAAAGACGAAAAAAAAAAAAAAAAAGAAGAAGAAGAAUAAAAAUUAUUGAUCAAUACA